UCCUUGUGGAGGCAAGCUGCAACUCUCAUUUUAGAAGUCUGUUUAGAAGACACAUUCUUCCUGGGGAGAAAGAAAAGGAUUUUGACUCAGCAAAGCAUUGGGAAGAGACUCCAUUUGAUGGCCUAAAUGACCCCCUUCCAACUCUAUGAUUCUAAGCACAAUAUGAUGUUAUUUGGCUCUCUUCCUAUCAACAUAAUUGGAAUUUCUGGCAUGACUGGGUACCUUAGACUCCUGUAAGUUGCCUUUAUUGCAUUGAAGAGUCAUCAACUGUAACUUCAAGUGUGUGUGCAAAUUUACCCAGCCAGGUAUGUUGGCAUCCUUGUUUAGUUAUUUCUCCUCUUUGUAGAAGUGAGAGCAUCUCUUAACCUCCUUAUGCCUGCCAUGGGGCCUCUUAUACUGAAGAAGUAUGUUAGCACAAGGAAAGCAGGACAGUGACCAUUGUCUACUAUGUUGCAUGUCUUACAACUCGUUGUGUCCCAUUUCUGAUAACAUUCUCCAUCUUCUUCUGUUCAUUCAAGGACAGCUCACCAAGAUGCGUUUCCAACCAAACAGACAAUGCAACCGUGGUAGAAUGGUUUUACUAUUGGUUUUUGCCUUAUUUUCAUAUCAAAUCAAUUAGAAAACGUCUUACUAUUUCAUCUAGGCACAUCAACACUUUGUACACUUAAAGUCAAGGGAAGAAUUUUGUUAACUUCAGUGGAGUAAAUCGGGUCUGUUUUGUAUUUCCCAUGCAGCCUUGGGGCAUGGCCUCAUGGCAAGCAUAAAAAGCAACAUUCACUGCAAACAGUGAAGGCCUUUUUUUUGGUCCCUGCUCAUUUUUGUUUUCUUACACCAUAGUGCAUGCUGUUAUCAUACAUGGACUCACACCCCAUAGUUAUAGAUCAGUGCCAGGACAUUCUUCUCCUCAAGUACAACUAGGAGAGGUUCUGAAUAUUACUAACAUGAGAAAUAUUUUUGGAUAAAGAUGUAUGAAUUGCAUAGACCAUGUAAUAAGCUGCAGUGAAAUAGAUGGGCUGGAGCUAUCUUUAAAGUCUAUUUAUUGCUUAAUGUUCAUACAUAUAUUCAGUGCAAUCAGAAGCCUUGAGGGUGUAUAAUUCUGAGACUCUAAGCCCUUUUUGCUAUUCCUACUCAGUAGCUAUAUAUAAUGUGAGUAUUCAAAAGGCAAGAUAAGGUGAAGAAACUAAGAGGAACCUCCUGCCCAUAUGAGCUGUCAGCUAAUGAAACAGGCUGCUAUGUGAAGUGAUGAGUUCUUUUUUUUGCUAGAGGUCUUCAGACAGAGGCUGGAUGGUUAUCUGCCAGAGGUGUCCUAACAGAUCCUGCACUGAACAGAAGUUUGGAUUAGAUCACCUAUAAGGCACCUUUCAAUUCUAUGAUUCUAUGAAUCACAGUGAUGAGUGAUAUGCUGAAAAUUUAUCUACAGUUUUUCUGAUCAAUUCUCAAUUUCAUGAAUGUGAAUUUGAUUUCAGGUUUAUCUUCCCAAAUAGGAAAUAAUUUUGCAGAAAUUCUCAUGGUGGUAUGUGGUGUUCCCAUAUUUGUUUAGCCUUAGGUUCCCAAGAGUUUUGUGUGAAUUGGACACUUCAUCAUUCAUUGGACAGGUAUCUCCAAUAGUCUGUGGGCUGAGUCUUCCUGCUUCAACUAACUUCCAAGGGAAGAGGCAACUCCUUCCUUGGCCUUCUUCAGAUUGUAAAGCAGGGGCAGUGAAGAAGGCUUCAGGGUGAUGGGAAGAUGUGUAACAAAAAGCAGCAGCACAUUUGCCACCUUCUUCAGCAAUAAAGUAAGCUCAAAAAGAACAUCAAGAGGAAUUCUCAAGCACCCCAGGAAUAAAAGAGAAAACCAGAAGCUUCUUUUGAAAGGAAAAGAAGUUUUUGAGAAAUUGCAAGAUGAAUUCUGAUACAGCACUAUCUUUUAGGGGAUAACUUUUAUAGGCUGCUUGGAAAAUGUCUCCAUCUCCUUUCUAAUUUUUGGUUACGUGUCCAUCUACAUAUGGAUUCUAUUUUAAAAUACAGUAAACCCUUGAUUUAAUGGAUCUCAGUUUAUCAUCAGGCUCUGGGGACAAAAGAAAAAAUCUGUGCAUACAGUGCAUGCUUCUGUGCAUGUGUAAAAUCCCUUUCACCAUUUUAUGCAUAUAUAAAAGUCAUAAAGUACAUAUGCAUAAAAUUCCAUUUCUUUUUUACACAUGCAUAAAAUCCACUUGUAUAAAUUGGCAUUUGGAUUUAACAGAGAUUUUGCUUUAACAGGCACUCCUUUCCCACUAUUAGUCUGUUGAGUAUUUCCUUGUAUUUCAAAUACUGGUGGUCCUUGCACAUUGUAUAUUCAGUGCCCAAGUAAGAAGAUUGGGAGGCAAGUUUCUCUUCACCUUGAAGACCAUAAAAAGAGGGUGUGUGCUCUGUUAUAGAGAACAUUGGGCAACUAAUGCCAGGCAAAGCUUUCUGCCCGCAUUCAAUUUGAUGCAAGAUAAUUUGCUCUAGAGAUCCUUUCAAAGGAAAAGAGAAUGCAGAGAAAAGGAGCAUUGUGUAAUUGCAUUUCUUGGUGGCCGAGAGGUAUACGUGCAGAUGGAUGUAUGCGUAUGUAUAUGUGUAUAUAAAUGUGUGUGUGUGUGUGUGUGUAUAUAUAAAAUCCUCUCUCCAGAAGUUUGCAGCCAUUGUGCUAAAAGGUCCUUGGAGGUUAUUUAGUGCAGCGCUCUUCUUGAUGCAGAAAUAUGGCGCUACACACUCUCUUCAAGCAGGCUAUUCUUUCUUGGUUUGGACAUCUAUAUAUGUGUAUGUGAAUAAAAUGGAAAAGCUUGUCUUGUUUGGUUUUCCUAAAUAAAAGUAAAUGAGUUCCCAGGCUUACAUUAAAUCCCAAGGAAAACAUUAUGAAAGAAUAUCUCCCAUACGGCUCUUUCAAUAACAAUGCUACUGUCAUUGCUAAGGAAGAAUCCUGCAGUUGAGAAAUUUUUGCAGUAUAUGUCUCUUUCUCUGGGGGGAAAAAUGAAGACAUUAUCUACUCAGUGGAUUUGCCUUUAAAACUGUUCAGAGGUUUGAAUUGUCCAUUUGUGUCCAGGUCUAGAAGGCAUUGCAUGCAAGAUGUCUAACUGGGAGUUUAACCUAAAAACCAUGAAACACAGAUGGAAUGGAGCUAUGGACCUGUCUAUCUGUAAUGCAUAUAAACAUUUUUUCCUGCAUUCAUAUGUUUAGGAGUCAUGGUUAGUCAUACUUCCCACUGUGUAGGUCUGUAUUUGUGUGUGAACAUUAUGCAUGAGCCCACAAAUGAUGCUUUUUUUAUAUUCUCUUACACCUGUAAUUUCAGGUAAGGAAGAAACAAAACAAUCAGCAAUGCUUGUUUUGACAUUUCCUGGUAUCUCUGUGAGAAGAAGAGUUUGUAAUGCUCUCCACUCAGAUGGUUCUGAUACUUUAUUUACUGAUGGUUCUAUAAUGCUUCCCAUUGAAAGCAAUUUCAAAUAUUUGAUAUAGACAUGAGUGGACCUUUUGCACUGCACAACAGAAUUGUAGCUAAAGAUGAUCCAGGCCCAAAGUAUUUCUUCUCAUCUGUGGGAGAACUGGAAGCACAUGAAAUGUGUUCAGUGGAAGCCACGUGGUUUAAUGGAAGCAUUCCUGACACCCAUCUUAAUGUCUUUUUGAUGUCAAUAAAAACAUUCCUGUU